AUGUUCUCUGUAGCUCUGCUGCUGCUGCUGGCUGCUGGAUCCUGUGUGAAGUGUGAACAGCUGACACAGCCAGCCUCUGUGACUGUGCAGCCAGGUCAACGUCUGACCAUCACCUGUCAGGUCUCUUAUUCUGUUAGCAGCUACUACACAGCUUGGAUCCGACAGCCUGCAGGGAAAAGACUGGAGUGGAUUAUAAGUGGAUGUGUUGGAUGCACCCCUUAUUUGAAAGCGUCACUUAAGAACAAGUUCAGUAUCAACUCAGACUCUUCCAGCAACACAGUGACUCUAAAUGGACAGAAUGUGCAGUCUGAAGACACUGCUGUGUAUUACUGUGCCAGA